AGAGCAAAUUAAUGACCAUCCCUGGUAAGGCCAUUUUAAUAAUGUGCUAUUAAAACUGUAUUAUUGAGGGUAGCUGGGUAGCUAGCUCAGUGAAUUGAGAGCUAGACCUAGAGAUGGGAGGUCCCAAGUUCAAAUCUGGCCUCAGACACUUCCCAGCUGUGUGACCCUGGGCAAGUCACUUGACCCCCAUUGCCUAACCCUUUCCACUCUUCUGCCUUGGAACCAAUACACAGUAUUUCUCCCUUUCUCUCUUUCUCUCUUUCUCUCUUUCUCUCUUUCUUUCUUUCUUUCUUUCUUUCUUUCUUUCUUUCUUUCUUUCUUUCUUUCUUUCUUUCUUUCUCUCUUUCUUUCUUUCUUUCUUUCUUUCUUUCUUUCUUUCUUUCUUUCUUUCUUUCUUUCUUUCUUUCUUUCUUUCUUUCUUUCUUUCUUUCUUUCUUUCUUUCUUUCUUUCUUUCUUUCUUUCUUUCUUUCUUUCUUUCCUUGCCACAGACCAGGAUUAUGGAAUAUAUUGAUUCUGUGCUAGUUUAUAGGAUGCUUCAUGGUUCAGUGGAAAAAGCACUGGUUCUGUGUUCAGAAAACCUGGGAUAAAACCUCACCUCUGACUCAUACUACUUUUGUGACCUCAUAUAAGUCAAAUGGGCAACUAGGUGUUGGAGUAGAUAGAGUACUGGGUCUGGAUUCAGAAAGAUAAGCUUUCCUGAAUUAAAAUCUGGUCUCCAACAAAUGAUUAGCUAUGAGAUCCUUGGCAAAUCACUUAACCCUUGCCAGUAUUGAUUCUAAGACAGAAGACCAGGAGUGCUCAACAAUUCCCUGGCCAAGAAAAAAACUCCCAUAAGACAUGGCCCUGCAGCAAGAGUUCAGAAGCAGGAUUCCCCACUGAAAUGAGAAGCAGGGAUUCCCAUGACCAGCAGCAGCCUCACAGCUGGCAAUCAAUCGUCAGCCUCAAUCUUCUCUGGAUUGCUUGCAUGCUCCCAUCAGGUACGGUAGCAGUUCACAGAAAUCACAGUCAUUAUCCAGCCUCUGCUCUUGGAGAGAAGGAAGCCCUGGGAGCUGCGUGCACCCUCUCCUUUCCCAAGACUGUGCCCCAACCUGGCCAUCCCCAGGUUGCAAAGCUCUGCCUCACAAGACAGGACCAAGCCUGAGAAGAUUAACAGCUGAGGCAGGAAGAAGGGGAAAGCAUGGAAGUAGAGCAGAGAAAUCAGUUUUAAACUCACCACCUUUGUGGGAAAUCCCAGGGUUCUAAUUUGUCAUUUCAUUUUAUUCAUUGUGAAACGGACUCCCCCCACCUUCCCCGAGAGCUGGGAGCCCAGCAGCAAAAGGCAUUCUGCUUUAAAACCCCAAUGACCGGGGAGUCGUUGGAAACUUAGCUUCGCCCUGCUUCUAAAAUAACAAUGGCAGCGUUCAUUCUCUUAGGGGAUCACAAAGGUAAUUAAUUUUCUUGGAAACUGCCUGCCAUGACCCUACUCAGAACCAACCCAAGCAGCCAUUUCAACAGCAAGCAUUCAUUCAUUCGUCUCUACCCUUUGACUCCUGGGCUGGCCACUGCCAAUUCUACAGGCAUUUAUUAAGCCUUUACUACCACGGGUCAAGCCCUGGGCUAGGUGUUGCUGAAGCAGAGGCAGAAAUGAAGGAGUCCCUGCCUUCAAGGGGCUUAGGGGUUCGUUUGGAGGUGAAGGGGUGGGGAGGGAACAAUAGAUAUUCAGGUAAGGAGAAAUAAAUAUGAGAUACAGACAAAGUGGGGACCA
ensembl:lncRNA